UACGUAGGGGGCAAGCGUUGUCCGGAUUUAUUGGGCGUAAAGAGCGUGUAGGCGGCUUUACAGGUCCGUUGUGAAAACUCGAGGCUCAACCUCGAGACGCCGGUGGAAACCGUAAGGCUAGAGUCCGGAAGAGGAGAGUGGAAUUCCUGGUGUAGCGGUGAAAUGCGCAGAUAUCGGGAGGAACACCAGUGGCGAAGGCGACUUCCUGGCCUGUUCUUGACGCUGAGGCGCGAAAGCUAGGGGAGCAAACGGGG
rnacentral:rRNA from 1 species